rnacentral:rRNA from 1 species
GAUGAACGCUGGCGGCGUGCCUAAUACAUGCAAGUCGAGCGAACGGACGAGAAGCUUGCUUCUCUGAUGUUAGCGGCGGACGGGUGAGUAACACGUGGAUAACCUACCUAUAAGACUGGGAUAACUUCGGGAAACCGUAGCUAAUACCGGAUAAUAUUUUGAACCGCAUGGUUCAAAAGUGAAAGACGGUCUUGCUGUCACUGAUAGAUGGAUCCGCGCUGCAUUAGCUAGUUGGUAAGGUAACGGCUUACCAAGGCAACGAUGCAUAGCCGACCUGAGAGGGUGAUCGGCCACACGGGAACUGAGACACGGUCCAGACUCCUGCGGGAGGCAGCAGUAGGGAAUCUUCCGCAAUGGGCGAAAGCCUUACGGAGCAACGCCGCGUGAGUGAUGACGGUCUUCGGAUCGUAAAACUCUGUUAUUAGGGAAGAACAUAUGUGUAAGUAACUGUGCACAUCUUGACGGUACCUAAUCAGAAAGCCACGGCUAACUACGUG